rnacentral:rRNA from 1 species
UACGAAGGGGGCUAGCGUUGCUCGGAAUCACUGGGCGUAAAGCGCACGUAGGCGGACUCUUAAGUCGGUGGUGAAAUCCUGGAGCUCAACUCCAGAACUGCCUCCGAUACUGGGAGCCUUCGAGUCCGGGAGAGGUGAGUGGAACUGCGAGUGUAGAGGUGAAAUUCGUAGAUAUUCGGAAGAACACCAGUGGCGAAGGCGGCUCACUGGUCCGGUACUGACGCUGAGGUGCGAAAGCGUGGGGGAGCAAACAGG